rnacentral:rRNA from 1 species
ACGCUCGACACCUACGGGAGGCAGCAGUUGGGAAUAUUGGACAAUGGAGGAAACUCUGAUCCAGUGACGCCGCGUGAAGGAAGAAGGUCUUCGGAUUGUAAACUUAUUUUGUCAGGGGAAAGAAAAAAUAGACUGUACCUGAAGAAAAAGACACCGGCUAACUACGUGCACNNCGACGUAUCNGAGGCGGNGUGAGACG